UCCUGGCUCAGGAUGAACGCUAGCUACAGGGCUUAACACAUGCAAGUCGAGGGGCAGCAUUACGGUAGCUUGCUACUGUAGAUGGCGACCGGCGCACGGGUGAGUAACGCGUAUCCAACCUGCCCAUGACUUGGGGAUAACCUUGCGAAAGCAAGCCUAAUACCCGAUACGCUUCAUAGAUGGCAUCUGAAAUGAAGUAAAGGUUUACGGUUAUGGAUGGGUCUGCGUCUGAUUAGCUAGUUGGUGGGGCAACGGCCUACCAAGGCGACGAUCAGUAGCCGGUCUGAGAGGAUGAACGGCCACAUUGGAACUGAGACACGGUCCAGACUCCUACGGGAGGCAGCAGUGAGGAAUAUUGGUCAAUGGACGGAAGUCUGAACCAGCCAAGUAGCGUGCAGGAAGACGGCCCUAUGGGUUGUAAACUGCUUUUAUGUGGGAAUAAAGUGAGGGACGUGUCCCUUUUUGUAGGUACCACAUGAAUAAGGACCGGCUAAUUCCGUG
rnacentral:rRNA from 1 species